GGAGGCUCAAGGUAUGUCACUAUCUUUAACUGCAUCAAGAAGAGCGGAUGUUGUUUUCUAAAACUGGGCCAAGAUCCUUCUUAUAAAUAUUUGCUUUGCUGUUUUAGACUGCUUAUGAGUACAAGGCAGCGACUGGCUUUCCCCCACAAAAACACAGAGGGAGUUCAACCAGUGUGAGACAUCUGGACAACCUGCUGAAGCUAAACCCAGAGGAGAACUCUGACCAUAAGCAAAGGUUCGUCAGCCUCCUGCAUAAGAUGCUGCACCUGAAUCCUCAGAAGAGAAUCACACCCAGUGACGCACUGCUACACCCAUUCAUAACUGGACUGGAUGCUGAUGACUCUCUGGUAGAGGAAUCAUCUGAGGAAGAUAGCGGUUGCGCUGGUGACAGUGAUUCCCUUCACACCUCAGAGGUUGCUUCAUCGGACAUGAGCCAAACAGACGUAGCCUGCGCCGCCGCUGAAUCAGUAGAUUCACUUGUCGGUGUAGAAAUCGUAGCUGUGGUUUUCUCCAUUGAUGAGGCCUCAGAUGGUGCCGCUGACACCAUGACUGUUGAUGCUGUUCCAGAGGACGAAGUCUCAGCUCUCCGUUUCUUCACUUUUGAAGGCUUACUAGGUGGUGGAGACUCAAGCCGAGCAACAACUGACCUGUAUGAUGCCGUUUCAGCUGACAAAGGCACAGCCGAUAACUCUGCUCCAGCCAUGACAAAGGCAGCACUCAAAAGCCCAUCCACUGGUGAAGGUCCUCCACCCAUGACGGUUGACUCCACUGACGCCCACAUCAGCUCGGAGGGAGUCGUAGCCAGAAACAGUCAGGGGAAAAGGAUCAGGAAGUUCUUCGGCAGAAUAUUCAGGGCCCUGAGCUGCUGUUGCUCUGCUAAUGUUGAGCAAUAAUUUUAUGUUAUUUGUUUUCUUUGUGAUUUUAUUCCAUUAUUAAAUGUUUUCUUGCAUGUGUAA